rnacentral:rRNA from 2 species
GAAAGACGGUUUCGGCUGUCACUUACAGAUGGACCCGCGGCGCAUUAGCUAGUUGGUGGGGUAAUGGCUCACCAAGGCGACGAUGCGUAGCCGACCUGAGAGGGUGAUCGGCCACACUGGGACUGAGACACGGCCCAGACUCCUACGGGAGGCAGCAGUAGGGAAUCUUCCGCAAUGGACGAAAGUCUGACGGAGCAACGCCGCGUGAGUGAUGAAGGUUUUCGGAUCGUAAAGCUCUGUUGUUAGGGAAGAACAAGUGCGAGAGUAACUGCUCGCACCUUGACGGUACCUAACCAGAAAGCCACGGCUAACUACGUGCCAGCAGCCGCGGUAAUACGUAGGUGGCAAGCGUUGUCCGGAAUUAUUGGGCGUAAAGGGCUCGCAGGCGGUUUCUUAAGUCUGAUGUGAAAGCCCCCGGCUCAACCGGGGAGGGUCAUUGGAAACUGGGAAACUUGAGUGCAGAAGAGGAGAGUGGAAUUCCACGUGUAGCGGUGAAAUGCGUAGAGAUGUGGAGGAACACCAGUGGCGAAGGCGACUCUCUGGUCUGUAACUGACGCUGAGGAGCGAAAGCGUGGGGAGCGAACAGGAUUAGAUACCCUGGUAGUCCACGCCGUAAACGAUGAGUGCUAAGUG